UUAAUUGAAGCCAAAGACAUUAGAGGCAUACCACUGUUAAUGGUAAGACUGAAUUAACUGUUCCAAUUAAA
rnacentral:tRNA from 1 species